CUAUGGCUCAGGAUGAACGCUAGCUACAGGCUUAACACAUGCAAGUCGAGCGGAAUGCCUCGGCGAUUUAGCGGCAGACGGGUGAGUAACACGUACUCCAACCGUUCCCUUACUCGGGUAUAGGCCUCGGGAAACUGAGAGUAAUCCCCGAUGUGGUGUACGCUUCGACAUGUAAUGCCACACCAAAGAUUAAGUCGGUAAGGGGUGGGGAUGCGUUCCAUUAGGUAGUAGGCGGGGCAACGGCCCACCUAGCCGAUGAUGGAUAGGGGUUCUGAGAGGAAGGUCCCCCACAUUGGAACUGCGACACGGUCCAAACUCCUACGGGAGGCAGCAGUGAGGAAUAUUGGUCAAUGGGCGAGAGCCUGAACCAGCCAAGUAGCGUGCAAGGAUGACGGCCCUAUGGGUUGUAAACUGCUUUUGUACGGGAAUAACGUUGUGCUCGUGAGCGUAAGUGCAUGUACCGUACGAAUAAGGAUCGGCUAACUCCGUGCCAGCAGCCGC
rnacentral:rRNA from 1 species